rnacentral:rRNA from 1 species
AUUGAACGCUGGCGGCAGGCCUAACACAUGCAAGUCGAGCGAGCGGCGGACGGGUGAGUAAUGUCUGGGGAACUGCCUGAUGGAGGGGGAUAACUCCUUGAAACGGUGGCUAAUACCGCAUCCUAUCGGAUGUACCCAUAUGGGAUUAGAUAGUAGGUGGGGUAAAGGCUCACCUAGGCGACGAUCUCUAGCUGGGCUGAGAGGAUGAUCAGCAACACUGGAACUGAGACACGGCCCAGACUCCUACGGGAGGCAGCAGUGGGGAAUAUUGCACAAUGGGCGCAAGCCGGAUGCAGCCAUGCAGCGUGUGUGAAGAAGGCCUUAGGGUUGUAAAGUACUUUCAGCGAGGAGGCGUUACUCGCAGAAGAAGCACCGGCUAACUCCGUGCCAGCAGCCGCGGUAAUUC